AAAAGGUGGUGAGUUGGGGUCAAUUGGAAAGACACCUGGAGCACUUGGAGUGCCUGGAUAAAUGAUAGGUGUAGUGGGGGUGGUAGGAGUCGGGGAGUAACCACCCCCUGGAGUGCUUGGAGUUCCGGGGUCAAUGGUAGGAGUAGGUGGUGUUUCAAUGAUUGGAGUAGUUGGGGUAGUAGGUGUAGGGGAAGGAUAGUAACCACCACCCCCUGGAGUGCUUGGAGUACCAGGGUCAACGGUAGGCGUAGGUGGUGUUUCAAUGGUAGGUGUAGAGGGGGUGGUAGGUGUAGGUGUAGGCGAAGGAUAGUAGCCACCACCACCUGGAGUGCUUGGAGUUCCGGGGUCAGCGGUAGGAGUAGGUGGUGUUUCAAUAGUAGGUGCGGAGGGAGUGGAUGGUGUACUAGGGGUACUAGGUGUAGGAGUACUUGGAGUCGGGGAAGGAUAGUAGCCACUUCCACCCCCUGGAGUACUUGGAGUGCCAGGGUCUGGAGUUGGGGUUACAACAGGUGUAGAGGGGGUGGAUGGUGUACUAGGGGUACUAGGUGUUGGAGUACUAGGAGGGCUUCCUCCACCAUGAUGAGCUGGUGGAGAGGGAGAAUAACCACCACCUCCAUGACCGCCUGAUGGAGGAGAUGGGGUAGGGUUAUGGUGAUGAUGAUGCCCUCCACUAGGGGGAGUCGGGUUACCACAGUUACCACCUGGUGGGUUUCCUCCAUGACCACCGCUUCCAUGCGAAGGUGUUCCAUGACCACCUCUUGAACCAUGAGAUGGAGGU
rnacentral:lncRNA from 1 species